AGAUUCAUCUGAAAAUUUCAGGGCAGAUAGAUCUUGACCUGAUAAACAAUUUUACCCCAUGUCAGAUUUGCUCUAAAGGCUGCGGUUUCAGAGUUAUAAGCCAAAAUCUACAUUUCACCCUUAUGUUCUAUUUUUAGCCAUGGCGGCCAUCUUGGUUGGUUGGCCAGGUCACGGGACACAAUUUUUAAACUAAAUACCCCAAUGAUGAUUGUGGCCAAGUUUGGUUUAAUUUGGCCCAGUAGUUUCAGAGGAGAAGAUUUUUUGUAAAAGAUAACUAAGAUUUAUGAAAAAUGGUUAAAAAUUGACUAUAAAGGGCAAUAACUCCUAAAGAAAUCAACAGACCAUUUUGGUCUUGUUGACUUAUUUGUAGAUCUUACUUUGCUGAACAUUUUUGCUGUUUACAGUUUAUCUCUAUCAAUAAUAAAAUUCAAGAUAAUAACCAAAAACAGCAAAAUGUCCUUAAAAUUACCAAUUCAGGGGCAGCAACCUAUCAACGGGUUGUCCAAUUCAUCUCAAAAUUUCAGGGC
rnacentral:lncRNA from 1 species